rnacentral:rRNA from 1 species
AAACAUCUCUGGAUGAGUUAAAUAUUUGGUAUCUCCUGCUCCAUGCAAGGUAAAUAGCUGCAGUAUUUUGACUGUACAAAGGUAGCAUAAUCACUAGUUUUUUAAUUGAAAGCUUGAAUGAAUGGAGAAAUGUAAAAUUAUCUUUAUUAUAUGGAAUUGAAUUUUAUUUUUAAGUUAAAAAGCUUAAUUUGUUUAAAGGGACGAGAAGACCCUAUAGAAUUUGAAGUAUUUUUUUAUUGGGGUAAUAGAAACAAACUUUCUUUUUUUUCAUUGAUAAAUGAUAAAUGAUCCUAAUUUAGAUAAUAAGAACAAAUUACCUUAGGGAUAACAGCAUAAUUUUUUUUAAAAGAUCUAAUUAAUGAAAAAGAUUAUGACCUCGAUGUUGAAUUAAAUCUUAAUUGGGUGUAGAAGUUCAAUA